GGAGUUUUGGGUAUUUAUGGUCUUAUUAUUGCUGUAAUUAUUAGUACAGGAAUUAACCCGAAGGCCAAAUCUUAUUACCUCUUCGAUGGUUACGCACAUCUCUCCUCUGGCCUUGCUUGUGGGCUUGCCGGUCUGUCCGCUGGCAUGGCUAUCGGGAUCGUCGGUGAUGCUGGUGUUAGAGCCAAUGCGCAGCAGCCUAAGCUUUUCGUUGGGAUGAUUCUUAUUUUAAUUUUUGCCGAAGCUUUGGCACUCUAUGGACUUAUUGUUGGCAUUAUUCUCUCUUCCCGAGCUGGUCAGUCAAGAGCUGAUUAAGUGGAUGCUUUGUGUGUGGACUGGAGUUUGUGUAGUAUGUCUCCUCUUUUUGUCAAGAAUUGGUUUUGUACUCUUGAGUAAAUGGGUUAUUAUUAUGGUUUAAGCCUACUCUCUCAAAUUGUUCUUGUGAGGUGUGAUUGCUGUACCACACGGAUCGUGUAGUAGUUAUAUAUGAAUUUGGAAUUAAUUAUUCUUCUCAAUAAAAU
rnacentral:misc_RNA from 1 species